rnacentral:ncRNA from 1 species
GAGUUUGAUCCUGGCUCAGGACGAACGCUGGCGGCGUGCCUAAUACUGCAAGUCGAGCGAGCUUGCCUAUUGAAAUUCUUCGGAAUGGACAUAGAUACAAGCUAGCGGCGGAUGGGUGAGUAACGCGUGGGUAACCUGCCCUUAAGUCUGGGAUACCAUUUGGAAACAGAUGCUAAUACCGGAUAAAAGCUACUUUCGCAUGAAAGAAGUUUAAAAGGCGGCGUAAGCUGUCGCUAAAGGAUGGACCUGCGAUGCAUUAGCUAGUUGGUAAGGUAACGGCUUACCAAGGCGAUGAUGCAUAGCCGAGUUGAGAGACUGAUCGGCCACAUUGGGACUGAGACACGGCCCAAACUCCUACGGGAGGCAGCAGUAGGGAAUCUUCCACAAUGGACGCAAGUCUGAUGGAGCAACGCCGCGUGAGUGAAGAAGGUUUUCGGAUCGUAAAGCUCUGUUGUUGGUGAAGAAGGAUAGAGGUAGUAACUGGCCUUUAUUUGACGGUAAUCAACCAGAAAGUCACGGCUAACUACGUGCCAGCAGCCGCGGUAAUACGUAGGUGGCAAGCGUUGUCC